AUGUAUGGGGACAGCUGCCCAGCCUCCGUGAGUAUCUCACUGAGGAUGAAAAUGACUAUCUUUCUCUUGCUUCUUCUAUUAGAUGACCCUGAGAUAGAAGCACAACAGUGGACGGAGGUGAAUGGACAAGUAUACGGACACGUUCUGCUGAGAUUUAUCUUUCCUCCCUUCUACAAUGGUUAUGAGAAGUUAUGUUCUAAACUAUAUCCUGGGCCAUUUCCUGUUGUGAAUACCAGAGGAUAUGUCAACAACUACUACAAGGGAAGAAUAUCGAGAACGGAAUACAACGGUGGGAUGUACGUUAUGAUAUGGAAUUUAAAACCUGUGGACGCUGGCGACUACAGGUGUGUUGUCAGCGGUGUGAAUCAUAUCUACUCUGACUUUCACCUCCAGAUUGAUAGUGGUCGACGUAGCGGUCCUGUACCACCUCGACCUCGUGUCAGAUCAACCAUCAGACCCUCCAUCUUCUCAUCAUCCUCCUCCGACACCUCUGGGCCUUUUUCCCCCAGUAUUUCCGGGAGUGUUGGUAUACCACUGGCUGCAGGUCUCUGCAUCUCGAUGGGGAUCGUUAUCUGUUCAAUCAUAGUUGCUGUGGUUCAUCGCAAAGUCAGGGCAAAAAAGAAAUGUGGAGCAACUUCCAGUGACUCAGCAGCCCACGUCCUCUCACACGUCCCUCAAAAGGAGAGCAGUAUUGUCUACGCCACAGUGGACUUCAAACCUCAUGAGAACCAUACCACAGAGCUGUAUGCUAACCUACAGACACUCCGCAGCCCCAGAGGUCAUGACCCUGACACACACAGAGAGCCUGCUGGGACGGUGGUGUACUCCACGCUGGCUAGCAACCAACGCUGA
rnacentral:lncRNA from 13 species